rnacentral:rRNA from 1 species
UACGUAGGGUGCAAGCGUUGUCCGGAAUUAUUGGGCGUAAAGAGCUCGUAGGCGGUUUUUCGCGUCUGCUGUGAAAACUCGGGGCUUAACCCCGGGCCUGCAGUGGGUACGGGCAGACUAGAGUGCGGUAGGGGAGACUGGAAUUCCUGGUGUAGCGGUGAAAUGCGCAGAUAUCAGGAGGAACACCGGUGGCGAAGGCGGGUCUCUGGGCCGUAACUGACGCUGAGGAGCGAAAGCAUGGGGAGCGAACAGG